rnacentral:ncRNA from 1 species
UUUGUAUGCUUAGCGCCAGACUGAUAUUUCAGUUAACGAGGACGAAGAAAUCGAGAUAUUCGGCGGAUACUUCGCGGUGGCCUACCAUCGAAAGGUAUACCUUAAAAGCAGGAGUGAUCCUGUAACAAAGGGUCUACUAGUAGGGGCC